AUGGUGGGUACCGUUGCCAAGGACGUGACGACCGAGCCGGAGCUGCUGCUGGAGCGCAGCCGGGCGAUCACCGUGCAUGGCAGCGACAAGGAGGGCCGCGCCGUCGUCAGGAUCGUCGGCGAGUACUUCCCCGCGCGCGCGCUGGGCGGGCGGGCGGAGGAGGCGCUCAAGGCGCACCUGCGGAAGCGGGUGCUCCCGGAGGUCGGGGAACGGGAGUUCGUGGUCGUGUACAUGCACUCCCUCGUCGACCGCGGCGACAACUUCCCCGGCCUGGGCGCCAUCCGCGCAGCGUACGAGUGCCUGCCGGCCGCGGCCAAGGAGAGGCUGCGCGCCGUCUACUUCGUGCACCCCGGCAUCCAGGCCCGGCUCUUCUUCGCAACCUUCGGCCGGUUCCUCUUCAGCUCCGGGUUGUACGAGAAGCUGAGGUACAUGAGCAGGCUCGAAUACCUGUGGGCGCACAUAGACAAGGGGGAGCUGGAGGUCCCGGAGUGUGCGCGCCGGCACGACGACGAGCUGGAGCGCCGCCCGCUCAUGGACUACGGAAUCGAGGCGGCCGACCGCUGUUCCGUGUUCGACGCCGCGUCCAUGGACACACCGGCGUCCCUGCGCUCGCUGCGUUGCUCCUAG
rnacentral:rRNA from 1 species